rnacentral:rRNA from 1 species
AUUGAACGCUGGCGGCAAGCCUAACACAUGCAAGUCGCACGAGUGGCGGACGGGUGAGUAAUGUCUGGGCAACUGCCUGAUGGAGGGGGAUAACUACUGUAAACGGUAGCUACUACCGCAUACCCUCGGAUGUGCCCCGAUGGGAUUAGCUAGUAGGUGGGGUAAAGGCUAACCUAGGCGACGAUCCCUAGCUGGUCUGAGAGGAUGACCAGCCACACUGGAACGGAGACACGGUCCAGACUCCUACGGGAGGCAGCAGGGGGGAAUAUUGGACAAUGGGCGCAAGCCUGAUGCAGCCAUGCCGCGUGUAUGAAGAAGGCCUUCGGGUUGUAAAGGACUUUCAGCGGGGAGGCGUUACCCGCAGAAGAAGCACCGGCUAACUCCGUGCCAGCAGCCGCGGUAAUUC